AAUAUCUCUAUACUAUAGACUAGAGACCUAUCUAUCUUGAAGAAAAUGAUUUGUGCAUCAGUCUAUCCAGAUCGAUCACUAUCCUCAUGAUAAUCUUAUAAUCGAAAGUCUUUAAAAAUUAAAUAUAUGUCUCUAAUUCUCAACACUUUGAGAAUAUGUAUCAAAAAUUAAUUUCAUAGACGAUUCAAGGACACACCAU
rnacentral:lncRNA from 1 species